rnacentral:rRNA from 1 species
ACGUACACUCCUGCGGGAGGCAGCAGUGGGCAAUAUUGCACAAUGGGCGCAAGCCUGAUGCAGCCAUACCGCGUGUAUGAAGAAGGCCUUCGGGUUGUAAAGUACUUUCAGCGGGGAGGAAGGCGAUAAGGUUAAUAACCUUGUUGAUUGACGUUACCCGCAGAAGAAGCACCGGCUAACUCCGUGCCAGCAGCCGCGGUAAUACGGAGGGUGCAAGCGUUAAUCGGAAUUACUGGGCGUAAAGCGCACGCAGGCGGUCUGUCAAGUCGGAUGUGAAAUCCCCGGGCUCAACCUGGGAACUGCAUUCGAAACUGGCAGGCUAGAGUCUUGUAGAGGGGGGUAGAAUUCCAGGUGUAGCGGUGAAAUGCGUAGAGAUCUGGAGGAAUACCGGUGGCGAAGGCGGCCCCCUGGACAAAGACUGACGCUCAGGUGCGAAAGCGUGGGGAGCAAACAGGAUUAGAUACCCCUGUAGUCC